AGCUGAACCAAAAACCACAACUGAUUCAUCAUCUACAGCUGAACCAACAACCACAACUGAUUCAUCAUCUACAGCUGAACCAACAACCACAACUAUUUUAACAUCUACAACAGAACAAUCAACUAAAUCAGGACAAAGCACCACAACACAGACGGCAACAACAUCCCUACCUACAACAAGUACAGCUCAAUCUACAACUGAGGUUACAACAAACUCACCUACAACUGCAACUCUGCUUACAACUCCAGGCCCUCCAACAGAAACAACAACAACACAACUUACAUCUACAACUGAACUAACAACCACAACUGCUUCAACAUCUACAACUGAACAAUCAACUACAUCUGAACAAAGCACCCCAAUGCAGACAACAACAUCAUCCUUACCUACAACAAGUACAGCUCAAUCUACAACCCUGGUUACAACAAACUCACCUAUAACUACAUCACAGGUUACAAUUACAGCCCCUCCUACAGAAACAACAACAAAACUUACAUCUACAGCUGAACCAACAACCACAACUGAUUCAUCAUCUACAGCUGAACCAACAACCACAACUGAUUCAUCAUCUACAACAGAACAAUCAACUACAUCUGAACACAGCACCACAACGCAGACAGCAACAACAUCCCUAUCUACAACAAGUACAGCUCAAUCUACAACUGAGGUUACAACAAACUCACCUACAACUGCAACUCUGCUUACAACUCCAGGCCCUCCUACAGAAACAACAACAACACAACUUACAUCUACGGCUGAACCAAUAAUCACAACUGUUUUAACAUCUACAACAGAACAAUCAACUACAUCAGAACAAAGCACCACAACACAGAUGGCAACAAUAUCCCUACUUACAACAAGUACAGCUCAAUCUACAAGUGAGGUUACAACAAACUCACCUACAACUGCAACUCUGCUUACAACUCCAGGCCCUCCUACAGAAACAACAACAACACAACUUACAUCUACAACUGAACUAACAACCACAACUGCUUCAUCAUCUACACCUGAACCAACAACCACAACUGUUUUAACAUCUACGACAGAACAAUCAACUACAUCUGAACACAGCACCACAACGCAGACGGCAACAACAUCCCUAUCUACAACAAGUACAGCCCCAUCUACAACUGAGGUUACAACAAACUCACCUACAACUGCAACUUUGCUUACAACUCCAGGCCCUCCUACAGAAACAACAACAACACAACUUACAUCUACGGCUGAACCAAUAAUCACAACUGUUUUAACAUCUACAACAGAACAAUCAACUACAUCAGAACAAAGCACCACAACACAGAUGGCAACAAUAUCCCUACUUACAACAAGUACAGCUGAAUCUACAACUGAGGUUACAACAAACUCACCUACAACUGCAACUCUGCUUACAACUCCAGGCCCUCCUACAGAAACAACAACAACACAACUUACAUCUACAACUGAACUAACAACCACAACUGCUUCAACAUCUACAACUGAACAAUCAGCUACAUCUGAACAAAGCACCCCAAUGCAGACAACAACAUCAUCCCUACCUACAACAAGUACAGCUCAAUCUACAACCCUGGUUACAAAAAACUCGCCUACAACUACAUCGCAGGUUACAACUUCAGCCCCUCCUACAGAAACAACAACACAACUUACAUCUUCUGCUGAACCAACAACCACAACUGUUUUAUCAUCUACAAAUGAACCAACAACCACAACUGAUUCAUCAUAUACAACUGUACUAACAACCACAACUGCUUCAACAUCUACAACUGAACAAUCAACUACAUCUGAACACAGCACCACAACGCAGGCGGCAACAACAUCCCUAUCUACAACAAGUACAGCUCAAUCUACAACUGAGAUUACAACAAACUCACCUACAACUGCAACUCUUCUUUCAACUCCAGGCCCUCCAACAGAGACAACGCAACUUACAUCUACUUCUGAACCAACAACCACAACUGCUUCAACAUCUAAAACUGAACAGUCAACUACAUCUGAACAAAGCACAACAACAGAGACAGCAACAACAUCACCACCACCUACCACAAGUUCAGCACAAUCGACAACUGAGGUUACAACAAACUCACCUACAACUGCAACUCUUCUUACAACUCCAGGCCCUCCAGCAGAGACAAUGCAACUUACAUCUACUGCUGAACCAAAAACCACAACUGCUUCAACAUCUAAAACUGAACAGUCAACUACAUCUGAACAAAGCACCCCAAUGCAGACAACAACAUCAUCCCUACCUACAACAAGUACAGCUCAAUCUACAACCCUGGUUACAACAAACUCACCUACAACUACACCUCGGGUUACAACUACAGCCCCUUCAACAGAAACAACAGAAACACAACUUACAUCUACGGCUGAACCAACAACCACAACUUUUUUAACAUCUACAACUGAACCAAUAACCACAACUGUUUUAAUAUCUACAACAGAACAAUCAACUACAUCAGAACAAAGCACCACAACACAGAUAGGAACAAAAUCCCAACCUACAACAAGUAUAGCUCAAUCUACAACUGAGGUUUCAACAAACUCACCAAGAACUACAUUUCAAGUUACAACUACAGGCCCUCCUAAAGAAACAACAACAACAAAACUUACAUCUAUUGCUGAACCAACAACCACAAUUGCUGCAACAUCUACAACUGAACAAUCAACAACAUCUGAACACAGCACCACAAUGCAGACAGCAACAACAUCCAUACCUACAACAAGUACAGCUCAAUCUACAACUGAGGUUACAACAAACUCACCUACAACUGCAACUCUGUUUACAACUACAGCCCCUCCUACAGAAACAACAACCACACAACUUACAUCUACAGCUGAACCAACAACCACAACUGCGUCAACAUCUACAACUGAAAAAUCAACUAUACCCGAACAAAGCACCACAACACAGACAGCAACAACAUCCCUACAUACAACAAGUACAGCUCAAUCUACAACCCUGAUUUCAACAAACUCAGCUACACCUACAUCUCGGGUUACAAUUACAGCCCCUCCUACAGAAACAACAACAACACAACUUACAUCUACAGCUGAACCAACAACCAUAACUGUUUUAACAUCUACGGCUGAACCAACAACCACAACUGUUUUAACAUCUACAACAAAACAAUCAAUUACAUCCCAACACAGCACCACAACACAGACAGCAACAACAUACCUACCUACAACAAGUACAGCUCAAUCUACAACCCUGGUUACAACAAACAUGACUGUUACAUCAAGCUCAGCUACACAAACGACACAAUUCUGCUUAAAAGUGACACAACAGCUGAUACAAUACUGCUCAGCAACAACUGAAACUCUGUCUACAACCACUGCCAAACCUACACAAAAACCUGACUCAACAAACUCACCUGCAUCUGCAACAACAGAAUCUAUGACUGUUACAGUAAACUCAGUCCCUUCCACAGAAACAACAACAACAACAACACAACUUACAUCUACGGCUGAACCAACAACUACAACCAGAGCUCAAUCAACAACAACCCCAGGCACAACCCAGACAGUUUUUGUUAGUUUUUCCAGCAGUGAAAUUUUUGUCUCUGAUCUGUCAAAUCCAGCUUCAGAAGCAUAUAAAAACAGAGAAAAGAAUGUCAACGAUACGUUGACACCAUUCUUUAGAAAUGCAUUGCCCUCCUUCAAAGGACUGGCAGUUAUUCAGUUCCGUAAUGGGUCAAUCAUCACUGAUAUGAAUGUGACAUUUGGAACCUUACCCAGUGAUGUUGAGAUAGAAAACACUAUUAUGAAAGCUAAUGCCACUCUCAGUAUCACCAGUGUAACAAUAUGGAAGCCCUUCACCACAACUACCAAAGCCACUACAACCAGUUCCACUACAAUUACAACUACAACCACACCUAACACAACAACAGCAGCAGCAACAACAACAACCACAACAUCUACUGCCAAUCCUAAUACAACAGCAUCACCAGCAACCACAACAUCUACUGUCAAUCCUAAUACAACAGCAUCACUAGCAACCACAACAUCUACUGCCAAUCCUAUUACAACACAACAACAACAACCACCACCACAACAUCUAAUGUCAAUCCGAAUACAACAGCAUCAACAGCAACCACAACAUCUACUGUCAAUCCUAAUACAACAGCAUCAACAGCAACCACAACAUCUACUGUCAAUCCUAUUACAAUAGCAACAACAACCACAACAUCUACUGUCAAUCCUAAUACAACAGCAUCAACAGCAACCACAACAUCUACUGCCAAUCCUAUUACAACAACAGCAACAGCAACAACAACAACCACAACAUCUAUUGUCAAUCCUAAUACAACAGCAUCACCAGCAACCACAACAUCUACUGCCAAUCUUAAUACAACAGCAUCAACAGCAACCACAACAUCUACUGUCAAUCCUAAUACAACAGCAUCACCAACAACCACAACAUCUACUGCCAAUCCUAAUACAACAGCAUCAACAACAACCACAACAUCUAUUGUCAAUCCUAUUACAACAGCAACAACAACAACCACAGCAUCUACUGCCAAUCCUAAUACAACAGUAUCAUCAACAACAGCAACCACAACAUCUACUGCCAAGCCUAAUACAACAGCAUCAACAGCAACCACAACAUCUACUGUCAAUCCUAAUACAACAGCACCAACAGCAACCACAACAACAACCACAACAUCUACUGCCAAACCUAAUACAACUGUAACAACAACACCCACAACCACAACAACAACAACAACAACAACAAAAACAACAACAACAACAACAACAUCUACUGCCAAUCCUAAAACAACAGCAACAACAACCACAAUAACAACAGCAGCAACCACAACAGCAGCACCAGCACGUCCUCAGCCAACUGUUGCCAUACAGAUUGUCAUUAUAGAGGUGUUUGUUCCAGCACUGAAAGACCCUCAAACUCCGGAAUUUAAAAGCCUAGCCACAAAAGUAGAGACUAUG
ensembl:lncRNA